AUGGGAUCGCCCAACCAGAUGAAGGCUCCACCAAUCAACCAAGGAGGGCUCCGGGCGGCCGUGACCCUGUUGGAGUGUGGGGGGGACCUCCAGCCCCCCGGGGGGUCCCUGACUCUGCUCUGCCGCGGGUCUGGAUUCGAUUUUGGGAGUUUCACAAUGUUGUGGGUCCGCCAAAGACCCGGGAAGGCGCUGGAAUACAUCGCAGGGAUCAGCUACGGUGGCAGUACCAACUACGCGCCGUCAGUCAAGGGCCGGUUCUCGAUCUCCAGGGACAACGGGCAGAGCUCGGUGACGCUGACCAUGAACAACCUCAAGGACGAGGAUUCCGGCGUUUAUUUCUGUGCAAAACGUGACAGUGGUUAUUGGGGUGGUGAUGCUGCUGCUGGUUCCGUCCCCACCCCCAGUUUCUCUGACCCCCGCUGA